GUAAUGCCGAAGAGUCCCAAACUAGGACGAAACAGCUGUCCAGUAC
rnacentral:hammerhead_ribozyme from 1 species